ACAGGAGCAGCAGAACCUUCUUCAUGGGGAAGUGAGGCGCGUUCAUGCUGCAGAACUUGGUCACCAUGGUGAAGAGGAGCAACGCAAAGGGCUCUCCGCUGUACAGAGCCUGACAACGUGCCAGACUGUGCCAUGAUGCCUCCCAGCAGCUUAUGAAACAAUAGAAGGUCCUGAUGCUGACGGAUCCCAGCAGCAGCAGCUGCAGUGCUGCUCCAGCAGUGCGGUGAAGAUGCCCAUGUCGUAGAGGAGGAAGAUGUUGUGCCGGGACCAGUGGAGCACAUCUCCCUCUGUGUCGCACUCAUCAAACACUCCUGGAAGAAAAAAAAAGGAAAAAGUGUCUCCUCAAGAUGCUUUGUGUUGUUUUUGUUACACAGCUGAGAAUUAAAAAGGAAAAAAAACUGUUUCUUGGUUAUUUUGUUCAGUUCCCCCCAAAUUUUUAUGCUUUUAUCUAAACAACAUGACAAAAAAAGCUUAAUUUAGAUCAUUUCAAAUACCACAAUAGUUCUUGUUUUUUCUAGUUCCCUUUGAUUCUCUCAUAGAAGAACCCGUUUUUGGUGUCGUUCAAUACUCAGGUGAAUAUUUUUGUUUGUUUCGCUUUUAUGAAAGCAGGUGAAAUCAACUUUUUUAGCACUUUUGAACAAUUUUCACCUUAUUUUUGAACAUUUUUAGCGCCCAAAUUGAAAUUGUCAGCUCUUUAAAAUACUGUAGCAUCUUUCUUUUUUCCAUCAAAUGUAUUUUAGUGGUGUGUUAAAUACUAUAGACCUCUAUUGAUUUGGUUUAAGCUGUGGGAUUUUCAACAUGGGGGACCUCACACACCUUGAGCCAGGUAGAGAAUGGCCCUGGCCACCUUCAGCCUCUUAUCUCUGUCCGUCACCUCCAGAGCGUCCAGGAGCCUCAUGACAUAAACCCUCUGCUCGUCCACCGUCAACUCAGUCCACCUCCUGCCUCCAGCUGCAGGGAUACCAAAAUCACAGUCUAUGAAAGUUAAACAUGAAAUGUGCCUUGCCAACAGUGGCUAGAUAGUAGAUAGGCUCCAGCAACCCCUGAACUCAGAAAGGGAUUAGGAUGGAUGGAUUCAAGGAAUCACAGGGUCCCUCAGUUAUUAUAUUUUUUAAUUUAUGAGAAAAUAGGUCAAUAUCAAUUUUAUAGAACAGACUUCAUGUUAAUUUUUCUUGUAAAGUUGAACUUUUUCAGAUUGGAUCAAACAAAGACUAACUUACUAGUUAAAAAAAACAAUAACUAGUGGUUACUUGUUAAACUAUGUUUUUCCUAAUUUUCAUUUUCAAAUGUGCUUCAACCUGAAAGUCAAUUCUUUUGAACUAAUUUAUUAAUACUUGAGUAGAGUCAUUACACCGGAUAUAAUUAUAAGAUAUAAACCUUUUCUACCCAUACUGACCAUUAGAUCUGAGAAAAAUACAAUUUAUUCAGACAAAAUAUUGUGAAAUAAUAUGUCUAAAAGCGUGAAUUAAAAAAAAAAACAAGCAAAA